AUUGAACGCUGGCGGCAUGCCUUACACAUGCAAGUCGAACGGCAGCAUGGAAGAGCUUGCUCUUCUGAUGGCGAGUGGCGAACGGGUGAGUAAAGCAUCGGAACGUACCGUGUAGUGGGGGAUAACGUAGCGAAAGUUACGCUAAUACCGCAUACGCACUGAGGUGGAAAGCAGGGGAUCGCAAGACCUUGCGCUAUACGAGCGGCCGAUGUCAGAUUAGCUAGUUGGUAGGGUAAAGGCCUACCAAGUCGACGAUCUGUAGCGGGUCUGAGAGGAUGAUCCGCCACACUGGGACUGAGACACGGCCCAGACUCCUACGGGAGGCAGCAGUGGGGAAUUGUGGACAAUGGGGGAAACCCUGAUCCAGCCAUGCCGCGUGAGUGAAGAAGGCCUUCGGGUUGUAAAGCUCUUUCGGCUGGGAAGAGAUCGCACAGGUUAAUACUCUGUGUGGAUGACGGUACCAGCACAAGAAGCACCGGCUAACUACGUGCCAGCAGCCGCGGUAA
rnacentral:rRNA from 1 species